UUGUGAUGUGGGGAGGUGACACAUUUUGGGGGUGACAUGGGGGGGAGGUGACACAUUUUGGAGGUGACACGUUGUGGAGGUGACAUUUUGGAGGUGACAGCACAUGGAGGUGACACAUUUUGGAGGUGACACCAGGGGGAGGUGAUGCAUUGGGGAGGUGACACAGUGUGGAGGUGACACAUUUUGGAGGUGACAGCACAUGGAGGUGACGGGGGAGGUGACGCUGUGGAGGUGACAUGCAGUGGAGGUGACACGUUGGGGAGGUGACACGUUGGGUAGGUGACACCAGGGGGAGGUGACAUUAGGGGAGGUGACACAUUUUGGAGGUGACAGCACAUGGAGGUGGCAUGGGGGAGAGGUGACAUGUUGUGGAGGUGACGCGUUGGGGAGGUGACAUUUUGGGGGUGACACCACAUGGAGGUGACAUGGGAGGUGACACACUUUGGAGGUGACACAUUGGGGAGGUGACACCGUUUGGAGGUGACAUGGGGGGGAGGUGACACGUUGCGGAGGUGACACCACAUGAAGGUGACACGUUGGAGAGGUGACACCUUAUGGAGGUGACAUUGGGGGAGGAGACACGUUGGGGAGGUGACACCACAUGGAGGUGAUACGUUGGGGAGGUGACACAUUUUGGAGGUGACAGCACAUGGAGGUGACACGUGGAGGUGACACAUUGUGGAGGUGACACAGUGUGGAGGUGACACCACAUGGAGGUGACACAUUUUGGAGGUGACAGCACACAGAGGUGACGUGGGGGGGAGGUGACACACUUUGGAGGUGACACAUUGUGGAGGUGACACAUUGUGGAGGUGACAGCACAUGGAGGUGACGGGGGAGGUGACAGACUUUGGAGAUGACACGUUGGGGAGGUGACACCACAUGGAGGUGACAUUGGGGGAGGUGACACAUUUUGG